CCCCGGUUCAACUUAUCUGAAUUUUUAAAUUAAGUUUUACCCAAGAGGCCAGUCAUUAUUAAUGACAGGGGGGGGGGGCACAGAAGAGCAAUGUGUUUCUUGGUAAAAAUGUUGCUGAUUCAAGCAUGAUUCAAAAUUUUGCUGAUUCAACCACGCACCCGAUCAAAACAUUUACAAAAGGAUACCAUUCAGUUGUCACACAUGUCCUUUAUCACCUAAUUGUGACAUGACAUUGAUAACUGCUUGUGCAAUUUUCUGCAGUAUAAAAUUUCAUGUUGUGUGCACAUCAGUGUACUUUCUUUGGAGACAUCAUUUGCAUGGCUCCUGACAAAUCGGAAAAUAACCUUUUUAACCUCAUGCUUGCUCGUCAAUGCUUUUAUAAUUUACCUAAAAAUCAGCUCAAGACACCUCUAAAUUUACCUGACAUAUUUGGGGUUUACACCCCCCGCCCACACGCAUAGCUACGGCCCCGUGUAUACUAACUUGCAUUGGUUAUCAAUGGUACACUAUCAACCUGGUCCCCAGGGCCUUCGUGCGGAGAAGGCCCGUGCUGAGAAGGCCCUGGCAUCGGCUAGAAUUUUACACCCCAAAUUUUG